AUAGUCUGAUUUUUUAAGGAAUAUUAAAUAGAAGGUGUUUAUUAAAGGAUUGCAUUUGUUUGAUAUUUUUAAGGGAGAAUUAGCAAAGUACUCAUAUUUGAAGUCCAUAUUAGAUACUUACCAAUGAGUUAACACAAAGGUAAUUUUUCUUACUUUUGGUUUGACCAUAAUAGCUUUCUAAAGUUUUUUUCCUUCUUCACAGUCUCUUUCUCUCAUCUGACAUUCUCUUUUCUUUUUCUUCCUUCGCAGUUUUGUC
rnacentral:lncRNA from 1 species